rnacentral:rRNA from 1 species
AUUGAACGCUGGCGGCAGGCCUAACACAUGCAAGUCGAACGAGUGGCGGACGGGUGAGUAAUGUCUGGAAAACUGCCUGAGGGAGGGGGAUAACUACUGGAAACGGUCUCUAAUACCGCAUACCCACGGGUGUGCCCAGAUGGGAUUCGCUAGUAGGUGGGGUAAAGGCUCACCUAGGCGACGAUCACUAGCUGGUCUGAGAGUAUGACCAGCCACACUGGAACUGAGACACGGGCCAGACUCCUACGGGAGGCAGCAGUGGGGAAUAUUGCACAAUGGGCGCAAGCCUGAUGCAGCCAUGCCGCGUGUGUGAAGAAGGCCUUCGGGUUGUAAAGUACUUUCAGCGGGGAGGCGUGACCCGCAGAAGAAGCACCGGCUAACUCCGUGCCAGCAGCCGCGGUAAUUC